rnacentral:rRNA from 1 species
UACGGAAGCAGCAGUGGGGAAUAUUGCACAAUGGGCGCAAGCCUGAUGCAGCCAUGCCGCGUGUAUGAAAAAGGCCUUCGGGUUGUAAAGUACUUUCAGUCGUGAGGAAGGUGUUAAGGUUAAUAACCUUAGCAAUUGACGUUAGCGACAGAAGAAGCACCGGCUAACUCCGUGCCAGCAGCCGCGGUAAUACGGAGGGUGCGAGCGUUAAUCGGAAUUACUGGGCGUAAAGGGCACGCAGGCGGUUAAUUAAGUUGGAUGUGAAAUCCCCGGGCUUAACCUGGGAAUGGCAUUCAAGACUGGUUAGCUAGAGUUUUUGUAGAGGGGGGUAGAAUUCCAUGUGUAGCGGUGAAAUGCGUAGAGAUGUGGAGGAAUACCGGUGGCGAAGGCGGCCCCUGGACAAAGACUGACGCUCAUGUGCGAAAGCGUGGGGAGCAAACAGGGAUUAGAUACC